GGGGUUGUAACUCGGUGGAAGAGUGCUUGCCUAGCAUUCAUGAAGCCCUGAGUUCAACCCUCAGUACCACCA
rfam:Ictidomys tridecemlineatus contig093415, whole genome shotgun sequence.